rnacentral:rRNA from 1 species
UACGGAGGAUGCGAGCGUUAUCCGGAUUUAUUGGGUUUAAAGGGUGCGUAGGCGGACUGUCAAGUCAGCGGUAAAAUUGAGAGGCUCAACCUCUUCCCGCCGUUGAAACUGGUGGUCUUGAGUGGAUGAGAAGUACGCGGAAUGCGUGGUGUAGCGGUGAAAUGCAUAGAUAUCACGCAGAACUCCGAUUGCGAAGGCAGCGUACCGGCAUCCAACUGACGCUGAGGCACGAAAGCGUGGGGAUCAAGCAGG